UACGUAGGGGGCAAGCGUUGUCCGGAAUCAUUGGGCGUAAAGAGCGUGUAGGCGGCUCGGUAAGUCCGGUGUGAAAGUCAAAGGCUCAACCUUUGAAUGCCGCUGGAAACUGCCUGACUUGAGUCCGGUAGGGGCGAGUGGAAUUCCUGGUGUAGCGGUGAAAUGCGCAGAUAUCAGGAGGAACACCAAUGGCGAAGGCAGCUCGCUGGAACGGUACUGACGCUGAGGCGCGAAAGCGUGGGGAGCGAACAGG
rnacentral:rRNA from 1 species